rnacentral:rRNA from 1 species
GCGGAGGAAAAGAAACUAACAAGGAUUCCCUUAGUAACUGCGAGUGAAGAGGGAAAAGCUCAAAUUUAAAAUCUGGCAGUGUUUCACUGUCCGAGUUGUAACCUAGAGAAGUGUAACCUGCGCUGGACCGUGUAUAAGUCUCCUGGAAUGGAGCAUCACUGAGGGUGAGAAUCCCGUCUUUGACACGGACCACCAGUGCAUUGUGGUUGUGCUCUCAACGAGUCGAGUUGUUUGGGAAUGCAGCUCUAAAUGGGUGGUAAAUUCCAUCUAAAGCUAAAUAUUGGCGAGAGACCGAUAGCGAACAAGUACCGUGAGGGAAAGAUGAAAAGAACUUUGGAAAGAGAGUUAAACAGUAUGUGAAAUUGUUGAAAGGGAAACGUUUGAAGUCAGUCGCGUCGGUUGGGGAUCAGCCUGACAUUGUUGGGUGUACUUCCUGGUUGACGGGCCAACAUCAGUUUUGAUUGCCAGAAAAAGGCCAAAGGAAUGUGGCACCUUUGGGUGUGUUAUAGCCCUUGGUCGUAUAUGGUGGUUGGGACUGAGGAAAGCAGCGUGCCGAAAGGCCGGGUUUCGACCACGUUCACGCUGAGGAUGUUGGCAUAAUGGCUUUAAGCGACCCGUCUUGAAACACGGACCAAGGAGUCUAACAUGCAUGCGAGUGUUUGGGUGGAAAACCCUUACGCGUAAUGAAAGUGAAAGUUGAGAUCCCUGUCGUGGGGAGCAUCGACGCCCGGACCAGAACUUUUGGGACGGAUCUGCGGUAGAGCAUGUAUGUUGGGACCCGAAAGAUGGUGAACUAUGCCUGAAUAGGGUGAAGCCAGAGGAAACUCUGGUGGAGGCUCGUAGCGAUUCUGACGUGCAAAUCGAUCGUCAAAUUUGGGUAUAGGGGCGAAAGACUAAUCGAACCAUCUAGUAGCUGGUUCCUG